UUAGCCAGAAGCUUUCGUAAGGAGUUUACUCUUUGGAAGGUCUGAGAAUGUACGUUUGGUUAAUUGCCAUUGGUUAAACCCAAGUCUUCCUUACCAGAAAUCCUCUUGCUACCGGACUGAAAUGGAAUGAAGGUAGUAAGAUUGGGAAAGUGGAGAUGUACAGCUAAAUAACAGUCUAAUACGAAAGGCAGUUGUUCCUGCAACAGAAUUCAGACUACUCUUUGGCUAA
rnacentral:RNase_P_RNA from 2 species